AGAGCAGACAGGAUGACGUGAAAAGAUUGGAGAUGGUCCAGAGGGCUGUGACAAAACCAGUAGCUGCAUCGAGCCUAUACAUCCCGUAUAACAUUAGCAGAACAUGAGAAAGGGUGUCUCACUGUACCGGAGUCCCGAGAUUUGGAGAAAAGCAACCCUGGGCUUAUUACAUCUUGCCCUUUCAAGUUCCAGUUGUGUCAUCUAGGGUAAAGAACAUUUAGAAAACAUCCAUGAUGGAGCAACAGAGGAUACUUAGGUUUUUAUUUCCUUAUACCAACUAAAAGCACAUGUAUUUGUGAAUGUUCGAAAAUAUAUUCAAAAUAUAUACAUACUGAGAUUAAUCUUUAUAUUUCUCUCAAGUUCUCCCAAUCUACUAUCUCUGAUCAAUCCCCAACUGCAAUUAAUUGACUCUCUUGGCGGUCUUCCAUGAUUGUUUUCUUUCUCCCAUGCCCAGAUCUGCAAUUCGAGUGGAGUCUACUAGUCUUGUCCAUGGAAUUAUAGCCAGUAAAUAUUCACAUUUUCCCAUUUGUUUUCUACACGGUGAAUUUUCUUGUUGGGGAGUCUAUCUGAAUUGUGAUCUAAAUAA